rnacentral:tRNA from 1 species
GCCCCAGUGGCGGAAUCGGUAGACGCGGUAGACUCAAAAUCUGCUUCCGGUAACGGAGUGCCCGUUCGAGUCGGGCCUGGGGCACCA